GACGAACGCUGGCGGCGUGCUUAACACAUGCAAGUCGAACGGAAAGGCCCUGCUUUUGUGGGGUGCUCGAGUGGCGAACGGGUGAGUAACACGUGAGUAACCUGCCCUUGACUUUGGGAUAACUUCAGGAAACUGGGGCUAAUACCGGAUAGGAGCUCCUGCUGCAUGGUGGGGGUUGGAAAGUUUCGGCGGUUGGGGAUGGACUCGCGGCUUAUCAGCUUGUUGGUGGGGUAGUGGCUUACCAAGGCUUUGACGGGUAGCCGGCCUGAGAGGGUGACCGGCCACAUUGGGACUGAGAUACGGCCCAGACGCCUACGGGAGGCAGCAGUGGGGAAUAUGGCACAAUGGGCGGAAGCCUGAUGCAGCAACGCCGCGUGCGGGAUGACGGCCUUCGGGUUGUAAACCGCUUUCGCCUGUGACGAAGCGUGAGUGACGGGAAUGGGUAAAGAAGCACCGGCUAACUACGUG
rnacentral:rRNA from 1 species